rnacentral:rRNA from 1 species
UACGGAGGGUGCGAGCGUUGUCCGGAAUUAUUGGGCGUAAAGAGCGUGUAGGCGGUUUGGUAGGUCCGUUGUGAAAACUCGAGGCUCAACCUCGAGACGCCGAUGGAAACCAUCAGACUAGAGUCCGGAAGAGGAGAGUGGAAUUCCUGGUGUAGCGGUGAAAUGCGCAGAUAUCAGGAGGAACACCGGUGGCGAAGGCGGUUCUCUGGGCAUGUCCUGACGCUGAGGAGCGAAAGUGUGGGGAGCGAACAGG